UGUAUUUAUGUCUGUACUAGUGCAGGUGUAUUUAUGUCUGUACUAGUGCAGGUGUAUUUAUGUCUGUACUAGUGCAGGUGUAUUUAUGUCUGUACUAGUGCAGGUGUAUUUAUGUCUGUACUGGUGCAGGUGUAUUUAUGUCUGUACUAGUGCAGGUGUAUUUCUGUCUGUACUAGUGCAGGUGUAUUUAUGUCUGUACUGGUGCAGGUGUAUUUAUGUCUGUACUAGUGCAGGUGUAUUUAUGUCUGUACUAGUGCAGGUGUAUUUCUGUCUGUACUAGUGCAGGUGUAUUUAUGUCUGUACUAGUGCAGGUGUAUUUAUGUCUGUACUAGUGCAGGUGUAUUUAUGUCUGUACUAGUGCAGGUGUAUUUCUGUCUGUACAAGUGCAGGUGUAUUUAUGUCUGUACAAGUGCAGGUGUAUUUCUGUCUGUACUAGUGCAGGUGUAUUUAUGUCUGUACUAGUGCAGGUGUAUUUAUGUCUGUACUAGUGCAGGUGUAUUUAUGUCUGUACUAGUGCAGGUGUAUUUAUGUCUGUACUAGUGCAGGUGUAUUUAUGUCUGUACUAGUGCAGGUGUAUUUCUGUCUGUACUAGUGCAGGUGUAUUUAUGUCUGUACUAGUGCAGGUGUAUUUAUGUCUGUACUAGUGCAGGUGUAUUUAUGUCUGUACUAGUGCAGCUGUAUUUAUGUCUGUACUUUGCUGACUAUGGAGUGGUUAUAUAGAUUCAUGUUGAAUUUCAAAUCAAUCCCCUAGACUAGCUUGAGCAAAAACCUGAACGAGCAGCUGUUGCAGGUCAAACUUAGCAGUACUCAUUCAUACCUUACCUUCAGUAUGUUGUGAUUCCAAAUACUCUUCUGAUAGUUUAAUGAACUAAUUUGUU